rnacentral:rRNA from 1 species
GACGGAGGAUGCAAGUGUUAUCCGGAAUCACUGGGCGUAAAGCGUCUGUAGGUGGUUUAAAAAAGUCUACUGUUAAAAAUUGAAGCUUAACUUCAAAGAUGCCGUAGAAACUUUUAAACUUGAGGAUGGUAGGGGUAGAGGGAAUUUCCAGUGGAGCGGUGAAAUGCGUAGAUCUUGGAAAGACCACCAAUGGCGAAGGCACUCUACUGGGCCAUGACUGACACUAAGAGACGAAAGCUAGGGAGCAAAUGGG